rfam:Oryza glumipatula chromosome 2, whole genome shotgun sequence.
AAUAAGCGCAGCCAUGACUUUCUGUGCCUAACUUUAAUCGUCCGUCUUAUUUAAACUUUUUUAUAAUUAGUAUUUUUUAUGUUAUUAGAUUAUAAAAUAUGGACAGUGACUCAUGUUUUUUAUUUUUUAAAAUUUUUUAAAUAAGACGAACGAUUGAAGCUGUGCACGAAAAUUUAUGGGUAAGCUUGUU